rnacentral:rRNA from 1 species
UACGUAGGGUGCGAGCGUUGUCCGGAAUUACUGGGCGUAAAGAGCUCGUAGGUGGUUUGUCGCGUUGUCCGUGAAAACUCACAGCUUAACUGUGGGCGUGCGGGCGAUACGGGCAGACUGGAGUACUGCAGGGGAGACUGGAAUUCCUGGUGUAGCGGUGGAAUGCGCAGAUAUCAGGAGGAACACCGGUGGCGAAGGCGGGUCUCUGGGCAGUAACUGACGCUAAGGAGCGAAAGCGUGGGGAGCGAACAGG